GACGAACGCUGGCGGCGUGCUUAACACAUGCAAGUCGAACGCUCUCGACCUUCGGGUCACAUGAGAGAGUGGCGAACGGGUGAGUAACACGUGAGGAACCUACCCCAAAGUCGGGAAUAACUCAGGGAAACCUGAGCUAAUACCGGAUGCCCUCCAGAGAUCGAAUGGUCAUUGGAGGAAAGAUUUAUCGCUUUGGGACGGCCUCGCGGCCUAUCAGCUAGUUGGUGAGGUAAUGGCUCACCAAGGCAUCGACGGGUAGCUGGUUUGAGAGAACGAUCAGCCACACUGGGACUGAGACACGGCCCAGACUCCUACGGGAGGCAGCAGUGGGGAAUCUUGCACAAUGGGCGAAAGCCUGAUGCAGCGACGCCGCGUGGGGGAUGAAGGCUUAGGGUCGUAAACCCUUUCAGUAGGGACGAAAAUGACGGUACCUACAGAAGAAGCCCGGCCAACUACGUGCCAGCAGCCGCGGUAAGUCACAUGUG
rnacentral:rRNA from 1 species